rnacentral:tRNA from 1 species
GCGGGAGUAGCUCAGUGGUAGAGCGUCAGCCUUCCAAGCUGAGGGUCGCGGGUUCGAGUCCCGUUUCCCGCU